UACGGGGGGGGCAAGCGUUGUUCGGAAUUACUGGGCGUAAAGGGCGCGUAGGCGGCCUACUAAGUCGGACGUGAAAUCCCUCGGCUUAACCGGGGAACUGCGUCUGAUACUGGAUGGCUUGAAUCCGGGAGAGGGAUGCGGAAUUCCAGGUGUAGCGGUGAAAUGCGUAGAUAUCUGGAGGAACACCGGUGGCGAAGGCGGCAUCCUGGACCGGCAUUGACGCUGAGGAGCGAAAGCCAGGGGAGCAAACGGG
rnacentral:rRNA from 1 species